GGCUCGUUGGUCUAGGUCUAGGGGUCUAGGGGUAUGAUUCUCGCUUUGGGUGCGAGAGGUCCCGGGUUCAAAUCCCGGACGAGCCC